CACACACUAGACGUUCACACGGAGGGAACCAGGUCAGACGAGGUAAUUAACGCAUCCAGGAUUUAUUUUCCAAGCGUGCGACAGGAACAGAGGUUUUUGAACCAUAGCGCUGCGGUCGGCCAAUUUCAUGGCACCGUGAUGAAUGCCAGGGAGGAGACUACUCGCCACUGCCGGCAGAUUUGAAAGCCUG